CUGUAGCCCGCUGUGAAUAGAGAGCUGUACUGUGAAGGUGCAAUCCAGCAUAUGUCAUGUAAACUACAAACUGCUGAUUGUCUGGCAUUCAGCUCCAAAGGAACCUACUCAGGGUGCAUUAAUCCCACUUCUGUUCUAGUGCUGUCAAGAAAGUGAAACCUCUCAGAAGCAGCAGUUGCCCUCCUAAACUGAAGCAUAGCCUUGGAUGUUUUGAUGGGGAGACUGAGAUGCAAAGAUGAAGUGACUUGCCUAAGGUCAGUCAGCAGAUUAGUGACAGAGGCAGAGCAGAAUCCAUGUCUCCUGUGUGGUACUCCAGAAGGCCAUACUGAUACACAUAUGGAGCAAAGAAAAGUCCUGUGACUCCUGUUCCCCUUCUUCACAUGUUAUUCGGGUUAGAAAGGAGAAGAGACUCUGCUACAAAAGGCUAGAAUGUGCAAAAGUGAAGACUUGCCAUUGUGCACCUGCAUUAAAUGUUGCUGAAUCUGUGACUGAGCGUUGCCCUACCCACACUCCCAUUGGUGCUGCUAUGGCAGAGCUGGAAAGAGUAGCUAUGAAGAAAUAGACCUCAUGAUUGCAAGUGACAUUUG